UAUAUAGUUUUCUAGGGUUCCGCAGUGUUUAGCUGGACAGGUCCAAGAGAAAACGCACAUUUCAUUGUGUACACGGAAGGAUAAAAGCCUGGGAGAG
rnacentral:sRNA from 1 species